rnacentral:lncRNA from 1 species
UAACACAUGCUCUCCUUUUUUUGGUGAUCUGUAAGUGGCCACCCUAAGGGACUUGUGCUCAGUCAACCUAUUGAGAGAUAACAUGCAUUUCACACAGUGAAAGAUUCUUUGCCUCGCCUUUCUAAAACGCCUCACACGUACACCCGUUACCGAGCAACAGGAAGAGGACAAGAAGAGAGUGCAGAGAGAAGAUGAGAGAGAGAAGGAUGUUAACUCGAGUAAACUGGCUGCAAGAAGCUAAAGAGAAGGAAGGCCACUCUUCCACCAACCCUCUUGAGAAGGUCCUACUUCAUCAGGCUGCUGCAGAGGAGGAAGCAGGCUCACUCCACCACCUCACCUUGAACUCCAGCAAAACGUGCCUUUUCUUCCUUCACUUGCUUUAGGCUGCUUCCAUUCUAAUGGGUUGUGAUAAGAAGACCAAUCAAAGUUGGUUGUAUUACACCUGAUCAUGAAGUACAAGAACAUUAUAACACUUAGUUCCGGUGCCUGAAUUGUUUUUAUUUUUCAUCCCUUAUUUCUCUUGUGUUAUAGGGCUAAAACCAAGUUUUGGUCAAUCCAAGUUGAGUAGGCGAGUUAAAUGAAUGGCACACGUUAAGUCAAAAUUCAUGUAAGUCUUAUUGAUUCAGUCAGUCUACUCUGGCUGGGACUAACAACUAGAUUAAACCCUCAUCUGUUUAGAUUGCCAAUCCCAGGGACGGGACCGUCUUCUCUUUUUUUAUUAUGUACAAUUGCAAUUGGAGCUUCGAAAGCCAAAGAGUGUGGUAUAAAAAUAUAACUAAAUGUAGCAAGUUUUCCCUAGUGUUAUCAGUUUCAUUAGCUGUCAUUUGCAGGAACCUUAUGAUAUGAAGUUAUCACAUUAUGUACCUAGAUGUUAUCAGAGGAGAAAGAAGGAGACCUGGGGCUGUUGGUUCCACUAUCUGCAUUUGGCCUAAGAACACUAGCUUCAGCACAAAUUGUGCAAGAGCAAAGAAGUCUCCUUUCAGUUGCUAAUGUGCUUUUAAUUCCAUACACAGCCAAUUAAAAUGAACUCUGUGAUGCAAAUCUGCCCUGAUGUCAUAGUGACCAUCUUGGAACACCAAAUCCCUCAAUUCAUCAGGUUAAAUGAAUUUGGGGAUAUUAAAUCCCACCAGUGCCAAU